UACGAAGGGGGCUAGCGUUGCUCGGAAUCACUGGGCGUAAAGGGUGCGUAGGCGGGUUUCUAAGUCAGAGGUGAAAGCCCGGGGCUCAACCCCGGAAUUGCCUUUGAGACUGCAUCGCUAGAACGUCGGAGAGGUGAGUGGAAUUCCGAGUGUAGAGGUGAAAUUCGUAGAUAUUCGGAAGAACACCAGUGGCGAAGGCGACUCACUGGACGACUGUUGACGCUGAGGUGCGAAAGCGUGGGGAGCAAACAGG
rnacentral:rRNA from 1 species